AGUGAACGCUGGCGGUGGGCCUAACACAUGCAAGUCGAACGGCAGCACAGUAAGAGCUUGCUCUUACGGGUGGCGAGUGGCGGACGGGUGAGGAAUACAUCGGAAUCUACUUUUUCGUGGGGGAUAACGUAGGGAAACUUACGCUAAUACCGCAUACGACCUACGGGUGAAAGCAGGGGAUCUUCGGACCUUGCGCGAUUGAAUGAGCCGAUGUCGGAUUAGCUAGUUGGCGGGGUAAAGGCCCACCAAGGCGACGAUCCGUAGCUGGCCUGAGAGGAUGAUCAGCCACACUGGAACUGAGACACGGUCCAGACUCCUACGGGAGGCAGCAGUGGGGAAUAUUGGACAAUGGGCGCAGGCCUGAUCCAGCCAUACCGCGUGGGUGAAGAAGGCCUUCGGGUUGUAAAGCCCUUUUGUUGGGAAAGAAAAGCAGCAGGUUAAUACCCCGCUGUUCUGACGGUACCCAAAGAAUAAGCACCGGCUAACUUCGUG
rnacentral:rRNA from 1 species